ACCCGCUGAACUUAAGCAUAUCAAUAAGCGGAGGAAAAGAAACUAACAAGGAUUCCCCUAGUAACUGCGAGUGAAGCGGGAAAAGCUCAAAUUUAAAAUCUGGCGGUUCUGCCGUCCGAGUUGUAGUCUGGAGAAGCGUUUUCCGUGCUGGACCGUGUAAAAGUCUCUUGGAACAGAGCAUCAUAGAGGGUGAGAAUCCCGUCUUUGACACGGACUACCAGUGCUUUGUAAUGCGCUCUCGAAGAGUCGCGUUGUUUGGGAAUGCAGCGCAAAAUGGGUGGUAUAUUCCAUCUAAAGCUAAAUAUUGGCGAGAGACCGAUAGCGAACAAGUACCGUGAGGGAAAGAUGAAAAGCACUUUGGAAAGAGAGUUAAACAGUACGUGAAAUUGUUGAAAGGGAAACGCUUGAAGUCAGUCGCAUCUGCUGGGACUCAGCCUUGCAUUUUUGCUUGGUGUAUUUCCUAGUUGAUGGGCCAGCAUCGAUUUUGACCGUUGGAUAAAGUUCGAGGGAAUGUGACACCUCCGGGUGUGUUAUAGCCCUUGUCCGCAUGCAACGGUUGGGAUCGAGGUUCGCAGCACGCCUUUAUGGCCGGGGUUCGCCCACGUACGUGCUUAGGAUGCUGGCGUAAUGGCUUU
rnacentral:rRNA from 1 species